GAUAGUCGAUUGCCUAAUCUAAAUAAUUAUCAAUUAUCUUCUCUAGGACUUGGCGCUUCUUUGAAAGCCAAUCUUAUUCUAGCAGAAUGCCAGACGCGUCUAGAGGAGUGUGGAAAGCUCUCAUUAUUUGGAGCACGUGUACAGACGUCGCUUGUCUGCAGAAUGACUUCCAGAGCAGGAAAACGGCUAACCAAGAAGACGUCUAGUUCGAAUUUCGUAUAUGACACCAAUGACAAUAGCCAUGAGAUCACAGUAGUUUACGACUACGAUGGGGUACGUAAAGGAAUCAAUGAGGCCUGGAAGCUCACAGACAGAGCUGGCAAUCAGCUAGACAUGUCCGAACUAGCGCUUCAGCAUCAUGUUCUACCGCCAAACGAUCGCUAGGUUUCAGUUCAGAGGAUGUUUC